rnacentral:rRNA from 1 species
GACGAACGCUGGCGGCGUGCCUAAUACAUGCAAGUCGAGCGAGCGGAACUAACAGAUUUACUUCGGUAAUGACGUUAGGAAAGCGAGCGGCGGAUGGGUGAGUAACACGUGGGGAACCUGCCCCAUAGUCUGGGAUACCACUUGGAAACAGGUGCUAAUACCGGAUAAGAAAGCAGAUCGCAUGAUCAGCUUUUAAAAGGCGGCGUAAGCUGUCGCUAUGGGAUGGCCCCGUGGUGCAUUAGCUAGUUGGUAAGGUAAAGGCUUACCAAGGCGAUGAUGCAUAGCCGAGUUGAGAGACUGAUCGGCCACAUUGGGACUGAGACACGGCCCAAACUCCUACGGGAGGCAGCAGUAGGGAAUCUUCCACAAUGGACGCAAGUCUGAUGGAGCAACGCCGCGUGAGUGAAGAAGGUUUUCGGAUCGUAAAGCUCUGUUGUUGGUGAAGAAGGAUAGAGGUAGUAAACUGGCCC